GAGAGGUCAAGAAGCCGAAGGUGAUGGUCGCCGAGGCCGCCGUCCUGAUCGACGCCGAGAACCUCGCAGCGCACCUCUUCGAGAUCUCGGCAUCGUACGAGAAUCAACAGGACAUUCAGCUCAUGAGGUUUGC